AUGAUACAAGAAUGCAAGCACAAACGGGUUUAUGAAACGGAGUUACAACGAGAAAAAUGUGAAUAUUUUCAUUUGGAGGGCAUUUUGGUCACUUCAUCUCAUCCCAGAGAGAGAGAAUGGGCCGCAUCCAAAGAUCACGUCGCCGGCGCCGAUUCCGGCCAUAAAACUGGAGAGAAGGAUUCUGCUAAAUCUGUGAAUUCUGGCCAAACCAUCAAGAAUUUGGAGAAACCCCGAGAUUUCAAAAAGUGAGGCUCGGGGAGGUUUGAUGAGGCUUGUAGUCGGUGGUGGGUGGGCUAUUGAAAGUUUUGAAUCAAAAGGUUCUGUUGUUGUGCGUGUAAGAACUCUUAGCGAGGCAGGUCGUGUUGGCAACUUUUUAAGGAGUAGGUAUGCAGUUUACUUGUAUUUGAUUCGUGAACGAAUUUGUCCAAUACUGUUCAAUGUAGGAGGAGAUUCUUUCCUCUUCAAUAAUGCAUUAUAUUGUAUCUUGAGAUAGGUUCUUGUUAAAUGAAUUAGCUAUCACAAAGUGUAAUCAUGUGAAAUAUAUUUCACAUCUCAUAAGUAAUUGCUAAAUAGCAAAGUCCUGGCCUGUUUUUUGUGAGCCGUUUUACAAUGUUUUCUAUACUGCCUCUGUUGGUCUAACUGUUUUGGGCCAAGGAGCAGUCUUUGCUCUGGGUUUAGGCUUUAGUGUCUUGUUAUUGUGUUUUGCGUUGAUGAACUUCUUUCUUUUGAUAAACAAACUUGUGUUGU